rnacentral:lncRNA from 1 species
GGGCGCCCACGUUCGGCCAACGCGGAUGACGGGAGGCAGCGCGGAGUGGGGGUGGGGGGGAUCCCCGGGGUGCCCCGCUCACGUGUCCCUCUGUCCGUCCGUGUCCGUCUGUCCCCCCCAGCUUCAGCAUCCUGGUGGGCGCCCCCAAGGCCAACACGAGCCAGCCCAACGUCACCCAGGGCGGCGCCGUCUACUACUGCCCCUGGCACCCCGACGCCGGCGCCUGCACCCCCAUCGAGUUCGACCACAUCGGUAGGGACGCGGGCGCCGGCGUGGGUGCCGCCCCGGGGAUGGGGACCGGUGUGGGGACAGGGAGCCGUGGGCAUGGGGACAGGGCUUAGGGACAGGGCACGGAGAGCCACGGGCAUGGGGAUGGGGACCGGUGUGGGGACAGGGAGCCGUGGGCACAGGGUUGGGGACAGGGUGACAUGGGCGUGGGGAUGGGGACUGGCAUGGGGACAGGCACAGGGAGCCGUGGGCACAGGGAGCCAUGGGCAUGGGGACAGGCAUGGGGACAGGAACAGGGAUGGGGGGCACAGGCAUGGGGACAGGGACAGGCAUGGGGACAGGGAGCCAUGGGCACGGGGACAGGGCUUAGGGACAGGGCACGGAGAGCCAUGGGCACGGGGAUGGGGACACACGCAGGGACAGGGAGCCAUGGGCAUGGGGACAGGGACUGGCGUGGGGACAGGGACCAGCAUGGGGACAGGGCUUAGGGACAGGGUAUGGAGAGCCAUGGGCAUGGGGAUGGGGACCGGCAUGGGGACAGGGCACAAGGAGCCGUGGGCACGGGGAUGGGGACACACGCAGGGACAGGGAGCCAUGGGCAUGGGGACAGGGCUUAGGGACAGGGUAUGGAGAGCCACAGGCAUGGGGACGGGGACCGGUGUGGGGACAGGGAGCCAGGGGCACAGGGUUGGGGACAGGGAGCCAGGGCCAUGGGGACAGGGACCAGCAUGGGGACAGGGAGCCAUGGGCACAGGGUUGGGGACAGCGUGACAUGGGUGUGGGGACAGGGACCAGCAUGGGGACAGGGAGCCGUGGGCAUGGGGACAGGGCUUAGGGACAGGACACGGAUAGCCAUGGGGAUGGGGACAGGGCACAGGGAGCUGUGGGCACGUGGAUGGGGACACACACAGGGACAGGGAGCCAUGGGCAUGGGGACGGGGCUUAGGGACAGGGCAUGGAGAGCCAUGGGGAUGGGGACUGGCAUGGGGACAGGAACAGGGAUGGGGGGCACAGGCAUGGGGACAGGGACCAGCAUGGGGACAGGGAGCCAUGAGCAUGGGGACAGGGCACGGAAAGCCACCAGCAUGGGGACAGGGACCAGCAUGGGGACAGGGCACAGAGAGCCACGGGCAUGGGGAUGGGGACAUGCACAGGGACAGGGAGCCAUGGGCAUGGGGACAGGCAUGGGGACAGGGCCCAGGGAAGGGCAGGGGCAUGGGGACAGG